GACGAACGCUGGCGGCGUGCUUAACACAUGCAAGUCGAACGGAAAGGCCCUGCUUUUGUGGGGUGCUCGAGUGGCGAACGGGUGUGUAACACGUGAGUAACCUGCCCUUGACUUUGGGAUAACUUCAGGAAACUGGGGCUAAUACCGGAUAGGAGCUCCUGCUGCAUGGUGGGGGUUGGAAAGUUUCGGCGGUUGGGGAUGGACUCGCGGCUUAUCAGCUUGUUGGUGGGGUAGUGGCUUACCAAGGCUUUGACGGGUAGCCGGCCUGAGAGGGUGACCGGCCACAUUGGGACUGAGAUGCGGCCCAGACUCCUACGGGAGGGAGCAGUGGGGAAUAGUGCACAAUGGGCGGAAGCCUUAUGCAGCAACGCCGCGUGCGAGAAGACGGCCUUCGUGUUGUAAACCGCUUUCGCCUGUGGCGAAGCGUGAGUGACGGUAAUGAGUAAAGAAGCACCGGCUAACUACGUG
rnacentral:rRNA from 1 species